UACGGGGGGGGGCAAGCGUUGUUCGGAAUUACUGGGCGUAAAGGGCUCGUAGGCGGCCAACUAAGUCGGAUGUGAAAUCCCCAGGCUUAACCUGGGAACUGCAUUGGAUACUUCCUUGCUAGAGUACUGGAGAGGAAACUGGAAUUUACGGUGUAGCAGUGAAAUGCGUAGAGAUCGUAAGGAAGACCAGUGGCGAAGGCGAGUUUCUGGACAGUUACUGACGCUGAGGCACGAAGGCCAGGGGAGCAAACGGG
rnacentral:rRNA from 1 species